rnacentral:lncRNA from 10 species
AGCCUGUCACUACCUCUGAACGCACCCAACCCCACAGGAGCCAGCAGAGAAAAAACAAGAACAAAGACUAAAGUUUCAAUAUGGCACCUUAAUUCCUUAACGAAGAGAAAGAAUGUAUAUCUUGUGGUAAUGGGGACCAGCAGCUCCAUGAAUCAAAGCUUUCUGUGGCUCGAUCUAGUUCAGAGUCUGAGUGAUACAUUUAAUGUGCCAGCAAAAGCCUCUGGUAAACAGGGAGCAGUGUUACAGCCAGCAGAGCCCAAGAGCUUGCCAGAGCUGAUGGAGAUUGAAGGGAGCAGGUUGGAGCUCCUCCUGAGGCAGAAUGAGAGGAAGGCUCUCCCCAUCUCCUGAGUGUCGGGCUGGACUCAAAGGGGAGAGAAAAUAUUUUAAAUAAAACAAAACACUGUCGUUGCAAUAAAAUGUGACAAUUCUCUUCUUCCCUCUCCUUUUUUUCUUUUCUUUUUUCUUUUCUUUUUUUUUUUUUUUUUUUUGGACACAGGUUCUUGUUAUGUCACCCACCUAGGCUGGAUUACAGGGGCAUGAUCUUGACUCACUGCAGCCUCAAUCUUCCAGGCUCAAGUAAUCCUCCUGCCUCCUCAGUAGCUGAGACCACAGGCAUGUGCCACAUCUGGUUUUUUGUUUUUUGUUUUUUUUUUAAGACAUGAGGUCUGGCCACAUUGUCCAGGCUGAUCUCAAACUCCUGGGCUCAAGCAACCUGCCCACCUCUGCCUCCCAAAGUGCUGGGAUUACAGGUGUCAGCCAUCACACCCGGCUCCCUUCUCUUUCUAUUUCACCUGACACUGUCUCUGCAUCCCCAUCUCUUAGCACUCUCCUGACUUCUUAGAUACCCUGGCCUCAUCUCUGAUCUGCCUGAUCUCUGGCCUUUGCACUUGCUGUUCCUCCCACCUAGUACACUGCUCCCUCAAAUCACCCGUUGCAGCCCCUUCUUAUCCUUCAGGACUCAGCCCACAAGUCACCUCCUCAGAGAGGCCCUCCCAGACCACCCAAAAUGAGACAGUAGCUCCACCCUCACGACUCUUUAUCCCAUAUCCCAAUCUGUGUCCUUUGUUGUACUUUUCACAGUCUGAAUGAUGUUUAUGUGUUGACCUGCAUGCUGUCCAUCCUCAUAGACUGGAACUUCCUGAGAGUGUCGUGAGAUUAGACGGCUCUUACUCACCGCUGUGUCCCAGACACCAGCACAGCGGCCUGUGUUUAAAGGUGUUAAGUGACUGGACAAUAUUUGUUAAGUGACUGGACAGAUACGGAAGUGGACGGUUACACUGACAGUUUUUACAGGGGGACGUGUUGCUUUGCCUUUGACUUGUUCCACUGUUCUCGUA